UAGGGCUGGUUCCUGUUUGUGGCCAUUGAAUAGAAGAGGCUGAGAGUACCUAGGACCUGCGUGGACCUCUUCCUACAGAGACUGGAGCCUCUAAAUCAUGCUGUUCAGCAGCAGUAUAGUUUAUGUAUGUGAAUUACACAAGGACUGCCUUACUUAAGAAGCCUCUCAUACCCCACAGUGAAGCUCCUGCUUGAAGAAAUGAAAGGAUCCUACAGCUGCUUCCUAGCUGGAGUGUGGCUCCUAGAUUAUGAGGAUUUUAUAAAUUGAAAGAAGGUGGUACAUGAUUUAACCUGUCUUUGGGAAAUGAAAUCACUUUAGAGGUAAGUGAAGAAAUAAUUAUUAAUUCUGGAUCUUUUAGUUUUGUUUUAGCACCCUCUGGACU